rnacentral:rRNA from 1 species
CCCUUAGAUGUUCUGGGCCGCACGCGCGCUACACUGAUGCAUUCAACGAGCCUAUCCUUGACCGACAGGUCCGGGUAAUCUUUGAAUCUGCAUCGUGACGGGGAUAGAUUAUUGCAAUUAUUAAUCUUCAACGAGGAAUGCCUAGUAGGCGCAAGUCAUCAGCUUGCGUCGAUUACGUCCCUGCCCUUUGUACACACCGCCCGUCGCUCCUACCGAUUGGGUGUGCUGGUGAAAUGUUCGGAUCGGACGUUUGUCGCGGUUUCCGCGUCAUGUGGCUGAGAAGUUCAUUAAACCCUCCCACCUAGAGGAAGGAGAAGUCGUAACA